rnacentral:rRNA from 1 species
CCUACGGGAGGCAGCAGUGGGGAAUAUUGCACAAUGGGCGAAAGCCUGAUGCAGCGACGCCGCGUGAGGGAUGACGGCCUUCGGGUUGUAAACCUCUUUCAGCAGGGAAGAAGCGAAAGUGACGGUACCUGCAGAAGAAGCGCCGGCUAACUACGUGCCAGCAGCCGCGGUAAUACGUAGGGCGCAAGCGUUGUCCGGAAUUAUUGGGCGUAAAGAGCUCGUAGGCGGCUUGUCACGUCGGUUGUGAAAGCCCGGGGCUUAACCCCGGGUCUGCAGUCGAUACGGGCAGGCUAGAGUGUGGUAGGGGAGAUCGGAAUUCCUGGUGUAGCGGUGAAAUGCGCAGAUAUCAGGAGGAACACCGGUGGCGAAGGCGGAUCUCUGGGCCAUUACUGACGCUGAGGAGCGAAAGCGUGGGGAGCGAACAGGAUUAGAUACCCUGGUAGUCCACGCCGUAAACGGUGGGAACUAGGUGUUGGCGACAUUCCACGUCGUCGGUGCCGCAGCUACGACAUUAACGUUACCCGUCCGUCGGGAGGUACGGCCGCGACGACGUAAACUUAAACUAGUAAGUAGUACGGCGUGAGACGUGCCGAACGACGACGACGAGGGAGUAGG